AAAAAAUGUAUGUGUGAGGUUUUCCUUGAAAUUUGACCCUCCUCCUUAAUUGCAUUAGUAAAUAAAAAUAAUAAAAAAAAAUGCAACUUUUAACUUAUGAUAUUAUUUAACUGUUAUAUUGAAGAAAGUUGUACUUAGAUUCUAGUAUUUUACUUCAAUGAAGAUAGAUGUAAAAAGCACACAGAUGAGUUGAUAUGUCAUUUUGCUAGCAACAAGAUUAUACCCUGUAGGUACCUACUCAUAGGAUUUCCUGUUCUUAGCCCAGAAGCAUAAACUAUAAGUUCUAAAUCAAACAGAACAUACCAGUAAG
rnacentral:misc_RNA from 1 species